CCUACGGGAGGCUGCAGUGGGGAAUAUUGCACAAUGGGCGCAAGCCUGAUGCAGCCAUGCCGCGUGUGUGAAGAAGGCCUUCGGGUUGUAAAGCACUUUCAGCGGGGAGGAAGGCGGUGAGGUUAAUAACCUCAUCGAUUGACGUUACCCGCAGAAGAAGCACCGGCUAACUCCGUGCCAGCAGCCGCGGUAAUACGGAGGGUGCAAGCGUUAAUCGGAAUUACUGGGCGUAAAGCGCACGCAGGCGGUCUGUCAAGUCGGAUGUGAAAUCCCCGGGCUCAACCUGGGAACUGCAUUCGAAACUGGCAGGCUAGAGUCUUGUAGAGGGGGGUAGAAUUCCAGGUGUAGCGGUGAAAUGCGUAGAGAUCUGGAGGAAUACCGGUGGCGAAGGCGGCCCCCCGGACAAAGACUGACGCUCAGGUGCGAAAGCGUGGGGAGCAAACAGGAUUAGAUACCCCGGUAGUC
rnacentral:rRNA from 1 species